rnacentral:sRNA from 1 species
AGAGUAGCAAAAUGGGCCUCUCUCCAACUCCCCUCCUCCCCCAGCACAAGGCAAAGGGCACCCCUUGCUGUGAGUUUGGGGGCACCGGCUGUCGGGGGCCGACCCAGAACUUUGCGGGGUCCCCUGAGGGACCCGUGGCGGGACCGGCCCCGGGUUCGUCAAAUUCCGCCGAUGCUUUCAGGAGGCUGAUUAAACAAAGGACAAGAUUGGAGUGGGAAAUGAGAGGCUCUUAAAAGUGGAAGCUUUUUGUUUGUCCAUUUACAAGAAAUUGGACAAUGAAUCACUUCAGGAAGAUGGAGGUCAUCAACCUCACCACCCUACCUGUGAUACCAGUGGAUGAGCACCUGGCUGUCUCGCUUGUCGCACGGAAUACAAUGGUGAAGACUGUGAGGAAGGAGUUAGAGAACAGUCCACCCUCAUGCCUUAUUGGCUCCAUGCACCAGGUGAACCAAAAGAUUGCUGACAUAAAUCUGCGUACCGAGCCGUCGGCCAACAGCCUGGCAUUUGAGAGUUUUGAGUUGGAGAAGAAGGCUUUAAGAGAGAAAACUCGCAGCAGUCCAGAAGACAAAGGCAAAAACCUUUCCCUUAGCCUUGAUGCUCUUUUCAUGGGUCAAGAGACAAAGGAAAUCUCAGUAUUCCUGCAAAGGCUCCGAACUCAGACAUGCCAGAUCUUCUGUUAUAAAAAGGAAAACAGCAGAUAAAAAUCUGCUGGCAGAGCUGUACCAGUAUUCCAACUUUAACAGCUCCAAGCCAAACAAGCUUCCGAAUGGCGUGGACUUCUGUGACAUGGUGGGCAACGUGGUCCGGGCUGAGAGAGACUGCCUUAGUGGCAAGCAUUUCUGUUCAGGUAGAGAAUUAGAGAAGUUUCUCUCUUCUCCUUCUCCAAGAGCCAUCUGGCUGGAUAGCUUUUGGUGGAUAUUUCAUGAGAGGUACCAGCCAAACAAGGAGCUCCAGAAUAAUCUGUUUGACCGGAUAGCCCAGCACUAUGCCUUACUUUUGUUUCGUGUACCCAAGUCCCACUAUGAAGAGGCGCUCUUAAAAAGGCUGCCAUCACUUCUGAGCAAAGCCGUGUACACCAGCUUCUGUUGCUGCUUUCCACAGUCCUGGUUCAACACGCACGAAUUCAAGUCUGACAUCUGUAACACAAUGAGCCUGUGGAUUUCAGGCACCUAUCCUAGCCCACAGAGCUAUGACAGCUGGGACUACUCGGAACUAGACCCAGAGCGAUUCCGCAGAGAAGAAUUAAUGUUAUACAGAAGAAGACUGACAAAGGGGAGAGAGUUUUCUUUGUUUGCUGGUAAGAGAGCCUUCUCCCAGAAGCCAGCCCAGAGCAGGAAAUUCUACCACCCUCAGUCGUCUAGUGCAAAUUCACCCAGUGAAAAAACCUCUUCAGCCAAGCAGAACUCAGAAAAAAGCUUACGAAUGCAGAAUACUGCAAAAGAGCAUCAUUGUCAGACCCUGGUCUUGAAGAAACCUACACAAGAAGUCAAGAGGAUAUCAGAAGCAAGAGAAUGUGAGAAUAUGUUUCCUAAAAAGUCGUGUGCUGCCUGCAAAAGCCCUGAGCUGACUUCAAACCUCUUCAACAUUUAUGGGAAGAGCCCUCUGAUUGUGUACUUUCUCCAGAAAUAUGCCAGUCUGCAGCAGCACGGCAAGAAUGUGUUGAUAGUCAGAAGGGAAAAGACCACGAGCACCCCUGACUGCACCCCAGCGUAUACUGAUGUCAUCAGCGAGACCCUGUGCAGCAUGAAGAAGCGGAAAGACAACCUCAAUCAGUUGUACCAGCGUCACUGGACUGAAUGGAAUUAUUUUGACAAGCAUCUAAAGGAGCUGCAAGACAACUUCUCCAGGGAAAUGAAGAAUAUUGAUCAAAAAGCAGCAGAUACAAAAAAGGCAAACCACAUGUUCAUCCCACCUUCAGCCGUCAAUGAGGAAUCACCUGACAAGAAAACUAAGG